rnacentral:rRNA from 1 species
CAGUAGCCGCGGUAAUACAGAGGGUGCGAGCGUUAAUCGGAUUUACUGGGCGUAAAGCGUGCGUAGGCGGCUAAUUGAGUCGGAUGUGAAAUCCCCGAGCUUAACUUGGGAAUUGCAUUCGAUACUGGUUAGCUAGAGUGUGGGAGAGGAUGGUAGAAUUCAAGGUGUAGCGGUGAAAUGCGUAGAGAUCUGGAGGAAUACCGAUGGCGAAGGCAGCCAUCUGGCCUAACACUGACGCUGAGGUACGAAAGCAUGGGGAGCAAACAGGAUUAGAUACCCCCGUAGUCCCUGUCUCUUAUAC